UACGUAGGGGGCAAGCGUUGUCCGGAAUUAUUGGGCGUAAAGCGCGCGCAGGCGGUUUCUUAAGUCAGGUGUGAAAGCCCACGGCUCAACCGUGGAGGGCCAUCUGAAACUGGGAGGCUUGAGUGCAGAAGAGGAGAGUGGAAUUCCACGUGUAGCGGUGAAAUGCGUAGAGAUGUGGAGGAACACCAGUGGCGAAGGCGACUCUCUGGUCUGUAACUGACGCUGAGGCGCGAAAGCGUGGGGAGCAAACAGG
rnacentral:rRNA from 1 species